rnacentral:lncRNA from 1 species
ACAUACUAAAUUUCAAAUUAAAUUGUCAAAUUAUUUUUCUCUUUUUAAAUUAUCUAAAAUUAAGGCAUUGUAGAAGAUUAGAAAUUAGAUUAAGAAUUUUAUAUAUUUUUUUGUUAUGUACGCCAAAAAUUUAAUGGAUUAACCUCACGUUCAUAUCUUGAAGAAGCAAAUAAAUUUUGCGAAAGCUU